rnacentral:rRNA from 1 species
UACGGGAGGCAGCAGUAGGGAAUCUUCCGCAAUGGACGAAAGUCUGACGGAGCAACGCCGCGUGAGUGAAGAAGGUUUUCGGAUCGUAAAACUCUGUUGUCAGAGAAGAACAAGUCGGAGAGUAACUGCUCCGGCCUUGACGGUAUCUGACCAGAAAGCCACGGCUAACUACGUGCCAGCAGCCGCGGUAAU